UACGGGAGGCAGCAGUGAGGAAUAUUGGGCAAUGGGCAUAAGCCUGACCCAGCGACGCCGCGUGAGGGAAGAAGGUCUUCGGAUUGUAAACCUUAGUUAUCAGGGAAGAAGAAAGUGACGGUACCUGAAGAGAAAGCCACGGCUAACUACGUGCCAGCAGCCGCGGUAAU
rnacentral:rRNA from 1 species